GGAGAGGUGUCCGAGCUGGCUUAAGGAGCACGACUGGAAAUCGUGUAGGUGGGGGUAACUCGCCUCGGGGGUUCGAAUCCCCCCCUCUCCG
rnacentral:tRNA from 1 species